GACGAACGCUGGCGGCGUGCUUAACACAUGCAAGUCGAGCGGUAAGGCCCUUUCGGGGGUACACGGGCGGCGAACGGGUGAGUAACACGUGGGUGACCUGCCCUCAGCUCUGGGAUAAGCCUGGGAAACUGGGUCUAAUACCGGAUAUGACUCCAUGACGCAUGUCGUGGGGUGGAAAGCCUUGUGCGGCUGGGGAUGGGCCCGCGGCCUAUCAGCUUGUUGGUGGGGUGAUGGCCACCAAGGCGACGACGGGUAGCCGGCCUGAGAGGGCGACCGGCCACACUGGGACUGAGACACGGCCCAGACUCCUACGGGAGGCAGCAGUGGGGAAUCUUGCGCAAUGGGCGAAAGCCUGACGCAGCGACGCCGCGUGAGGGAUGACGGCCU
rnacentral:rRNA from 1 species